rnacentral:rRNA from 1 species
GAUGAACGCUAGCUACAGGCUUAACACAUGCAAGUCGAGGGGAAACGGCAUUGAGUGCUUGCACUCUUUGGACGUCGACCCGGCGCACGGGUGAGUAACGCGUAUCCAACCUUCCCCAUUACUGUGGGAUAACCUGCCGAAAGGCAGACUAAUACCGCAUAGUCUUCGAUGACGGCAUCAGAUUUGAAGUAAAGAUUUAUCGGUAAUGGAUGGGGAUGCGUCUGAUUAGCUUGUUGGCGGGGUAACGGCCCACCAAGGCAACGAUCAGUAGGGGUUCUGAGAGGAAGGUCCCCCACAUUGGAACUGAGACACGGUCCAAACUCCUACGGGAGGCAGCAGUGAGGAAUAUUGGUCAAUGGACGGAAGUCUGAACCAGCCAAGUAGCGUGCAGGAUGACGGCCCUAUGGGUUGUAAACUGCUUUUGUAUGGGGAUAAAGUUAGGGACGUGUCCCUAUUUGCAGGUACCAUACGAAUAAGGACCGGCUAAUUCCGUGCCAGCAGCCGCGGUAAUACGGAAGGUCCAGGCGUUAUCCGGAUUUAUUGGGUUUAAAGGGAGCGUAGGCUGGAGAUUAAGUGUGUUGUGAAAUGUAGACGCUCAACGUCUGACUUGCAGCGCAUACUGGUUUCCUUGAGUACGCACAACGUUGGCGGAAUUCGUCGUGUAGCGGUGAAAUGCUUAGAUAUGACGAAGAACUCCGAUUGCGAAGGCAGCUGACGGGAGCGCAACUGACGCUUAAGCUCGAAGGUGCGGGUAUCAAACAGG